GGACAGAUGGGUGAGUGGCUUAAACCAGCGGUUUACUAAACCGCCGUCCCCUUAAAAGGACCGUGAGUUCGAAUCUCACUCUGUCCG
rnacentral:tRNA from 1 species